rnacentral:ncRNA from 1 species
UAAUUAUAGUUGAAAAUGAUUAUCAAUACCAAAUGAACUAUUCCCCCCACACAUAUUUCGUUCUAAUUGGAUUGAUCAUUUUCACAAUAUCCCCUUUUAUAUGCCCGUAAAAGACUAACGUUGCGAGACAACGUGUUAUUAAAUAAAAACCGGUUUGCCAUACAUAAACCGGUUUUUAU